GUGGAAUCCUCGACAGACGACAUUUUCAAGAUGAUAUUAAGCAGAACCUAAAAUACCAUUACAUCACUGAUUCUAGAGAGAAAGGAGGGAGGCACUGCCUGUACAAUGAGUCUCCAAAUGGAAACAGAUGAUCAGAACCAGGCAGCAGUGUCUGCAGUGUCUGUGAAAAGUAGCAACUCCAUGAGGCAACCUCCUGUACUGAGUGAUGGAACAGUGACCUCUGACCCCAAAUCACUGAUUCUGGAGGGAAAGGAGGGAGGCACUGCCUCUACAAUGAGUCUCCAUGAAGAGAGAGAGGAUCAGACACAGAAAGCAGUGUCUGUAGUGUCUUUGAAAAGUAGCAACUCCAUGAGGCAACCUCCUGUACUGAGUAAUGGAACAGUGACCUCUGACUCCAAGUAGGAUGCUGCAUAACAAACAGUAGAUUGCAGAGAUCAAAUUGAAUAGCAUUUUUUUAAGAUUAUAUAUGGUAGAUUUGUAUACACAAAUUUUAAUUAUGAAUAAUAAUAUUGAAUGGAGGUGUAAUGGUUCAAGUUCAAUACUACUAUUUGUUAACAACAUAAACAGUUUGCCUUAAAAAAAAACUUUUUAAAAAAAAUUACUGAAUAAAAAUUUAUUUAGACUUAUUUGCACUGCUAAAGAGUUGGAUUCCAAUUCUAAACAUGGCCAAAGUUUCAAGAAAACUAGUUGAGUAUUUCUGUGCCAAAUACACUCCAGAGUAUGUAUUCACCUUAUUUUUCAAUGUGGAAGUAAAACGUUGUCUGUGAAUGUGUGAGAUUUCCGGUUCAUAAGCCACUGUAGAGAAAUAACGAGAAGAAUAACAAAGAUCAGUAAACAGUAAAACUGUUUGCACUAUAAACCCGUGUGUUCAUAAUUAAGAUAAUACAUUUAAAAAAAAUAUGGUAAGAAACACCAGUUUGCAAUAUCAAGAGAGCAAGAGCACGCUCACCAACAUGCUUCAUUCAGGUUACGGAAGUCACGGCAGCGUUGCACAGGACUUGCUUAAGAAUCUAAAUAGAAUCUGCAGUUAUGAAUCAUGGCCAGGAUCUUUUAUCGCUGGGAAUGCUCAAUCUUUCAGGACAUAUUUCAGCUGUCAAUGUCUUGUUCAUCUAUUUCAAAACCAUAGCAACACAGCUUGUAAUUAACUAAUACAUUUGUAUAAUAUUGUAUAAUAUUCUACCGUCAUGUUAGACAUGUUUGAAUACCUGAAAAUGCAUGAAGCAAUUACAUAUGUUUCUGCAAAAUAUUUCCUUUUCUGUUACAAAAGAGAAAGUUACAUAGGUUUUAAAUGAUCUUAGAUCUUUUCUU